rnacentral:pre_miRNA from 1 species
AGUGUGAUUGUUAUAUCAUAUGGUAAGUGGAUAUUUAAUUUUAUAAGAAACUGCCAAAAUGUUUCCCAAAGUGGCUAUACCACUUUGCAUUCCCACUGUCAAU